rnacentral:tRNA from 1 species
GGUUCUAUAGUGUAGUGGUCAUCACUCGAGAUUCUGACGCAGUCAAUCUUCUCGAAACCCAGGUUCGAACCCUGGUAGGACCU